AGAUCGAUAGCAGAAAAACAGUCUAAAUAUAUAUCUAAGUCCUUCCAUCCUUUCAUCCUUCCUUUCUUCCUACCAUCCUUCCCUACUUCCUUCCUUCCAUCCUUCCAUCCUUCCAUCCUUUCAUCCUUCCUUUCCUCCUACCAUCCUUCCCUACUUCCUUCCUUCCAUCCUUUCAUCCUUCCUUCCUUCCUUCCUUCCUCCCAUCCUUCCAUCCUUCCUUUCUUCCUACCAUCCUUCCUUCCUUCCUUCCAUCCUUCCUCCCUUCCUUCCAUCCAUCCUUCCUUCCUUCCUUCCCUCCUUCUUUCCAUCCUUCCUUCCUUACGUCCAUCCUUCCUUCAUCCAUCCCACAUCCUUCCUUCCUUUCUUCCUUCCUUUCUUCCUUCCUUUCUUCCUUCCAUCCUUCCUUCCUCCCUUCCUUCCAUCCUUCCAUCCUUCCUUCCCUCCUUCCUUCCAUCCUUCCAUCCUUCCAUCCUUUCAUCCUUCCUUCCAUCCUUCCAUCCUUCCUUCCUUCCUUCCUUCCAUCCUUCCUUCCUUCCUUCCUUCCUUACGUCCAUCCCUCCUUCAUCCAUCCCACCAUCCUUCCUUCCUUUCUUCCUUCCUUCCUUCCUUCCUUCCAUCCUUCCUUCCUCCCUUCCUUCCUUCCUUCCUCCCUUCCUUCCUCCCUUCCAUCCUUCCUUUCUUCCUUCCUUCCUUCCUUCCUUCCUUCCUUCCUUCCUUCCUUCCUUCCAUCCUUCCUUCCCCCCUUCCUUCCAUCCUUCCUUCCUUCCUUCCUUCCUUCCAUCCUUCGUUCCAUCCUUCCUUCCCCCCUUCGUUCCAUCCUUUGUUCCAUCCUUUCAUCCUUCCUUCCAUCCUUCCAUCCUUUCUUUCUUCCUACCAUCCUUUCUUCCUUCCAUCCUUCCUUCCUUCCUUCCAUCCUUCCAUCCUUUCAUCCUUCUUUCCAUCCUUCCUUUCUUCCUACCAUCCUUCCCCUCCUUCCAUCCUUCCUUUCUUCCUUACUUCCAUUCUUCCUACCAUCCUUCCUUCCAUCCUUUCAUCCUUCCUUCCGUCCUUCCUUUCUUCCUUCCAUCCUUCCUUCCUUCCAUCCUUUUAUCCUUACUUCCAUCCUUCCAUCCUUCCUACCUCCUUCCAUCCUUCCUUUCUUCCUUCCUUCCUUCCAUCCUUCCAUCCUUCCUUCCUUCCUUCCUCCCUUCCUUCCAUCCUUCCUUCCCUCCUUCUUUCCAUCCUUCCUUCCUUACGUCCAUCCUUCCUUCAUCCAUCCCACCAUCCUUCCUUCCUUUCUUCCUUCCUUCCUUCCUUCCUUCCUUCCUUCCAUCCUUCCUUUCUCCCUUCCUUCCCCCCUUCCUUCCAUCCUUUCAUCCUUCCUUCCUUCCUUCCAUCCUUCCUUCCUUCCUUCCUUACGUCCAUCCUUCCUUCAUCCAUCCCACCGUCCUUCCUUCCUUCCUUCCAUCCUUCCUUCCUCCCUUCCUUCCAUCCUUCCUUCCUUCCCCCCUUCCUUCCAUCCUUCCUUCCUUCCUUCCUUCCUUCCUAUCAUCCUUCCUUCCAUCCUUCCUUCCCCCUUCCGUCCAUCCUUCCUUCCAUCCUACCAUCCUUCCUUCCUUCCUUCCAUCCUUUCAUCCUUCCUUCCUUCCUUCCUUCCUUCCUUCCUUCCUUCCUUCCUUCCUUCCUUUCUUCCUACCGUCCUUCCUUUCUUCCUUCCUUCCUUCCUUCCGUCCUUCCUUUCUUCCUACCAUCCUUCCUUCCUUCCUUCCAUCCUUUCAUCCUUCCUUCCUUCCUUCCUUCCUUCCUUCCUUCCAUCCUUUCUUCCUUCCAUCCUUCCUUUCUCCCUUCCUUCCCCCCUUCCUUCCAUCCUUUCAUCCUUCCUUUCUUCCUACCAUCCUUCCUUCCUUCCUUCCAUCCUUCCUUCCUUCCUUCCUUCCUUACGUCCAUCCUUCCUUCAUCCAUCCCACCGUCCUUCCUUCCUUCCUUCCAUCCUUCCUUCCUCCCUUCCUUCCAUCCUUCCUUCCUUCCCCCCUUCCUUCCAUCCUUCCUUCCUUCCUACCAUCCUUCCUUCCAUCCUUCCUUCCCCCCUUCCGUCCAUCCUUCCUUCCAUCCUACCAUCCUUCCUUCCUUCCUUCCAUCCUUUCAUCCUUCCUUCCUUCCUUCCUUCCAUCCUUCCUUCCUUCCUUCCUUCCUUCCAUCCUUUCUUCCUACCGUCCUUCCUUUCUUCCUUCCUUCCUUCCUUCCGUCCUUCCUUUCUUCCUACCAUCCUUCCUUCCUUCCUUCCAUCCUUUCAUCCUUCCUUCCUUCCUUCCUUCCUUCCUUCCUUCCAUCCUUUCUUCCUACCAUCCUUCCUUUCUUCCUUCCUUCCUUCCAUCCUUUCAUCCUUCCUUCCUUCCUUCCGUCCUUCCUUUCUUCCUUCCUUCCUUCCAUCCUUUCAUCCUUUCUUCCUUCCUUCCUUCCUUCCUUCCUUCCUUCCAUCCUUUCUUUCUUCCUUCCUUCCUUCCUACCAUCCUUCCUUUCUUCCUCCUUCCUCCAGCAGCUCCCCUCAGCUGUGAUGCCCCCCCUCCUCCUCCUUCCACACUCCACCUGACCUCAGGGUCAACAUCACCUCCUCCUCCUCCUCCAGCUCUUCCCUGCGUAUUUGCCCCCCCGACAGCAGAGGCUCCCCCCCCGUUGUCCGUCUCUGUGGGCUCAGUUUGA
rnacentral:lncRNA from 1 species